rnacentral:rRNA from 1 species
AGAGUUUGAUCCUGGCUCAGGAUGAACGCUGGCGGCGUGCCUAACACAUGCAAGUCGAGCGGUAUAUACUUWAWCAAAUCUUCGGAAGAGWGAYGGUAUAGAGAGCGGCGGACGGGUGAGUAACGCGUAGGCAACCUGCCCCAUACAGAGGGAUAGCCUCGGGAAACCGGGAUUAAAACCUCAUAACGCCAAGAGUUCACAUGGACUUUUGGCCAAAGAUUUAUCGGUAUGGGAUGGGCCUGCGUCUGAUUAGCUAGUUGGUGGGGUAACGGCCUACCAAGGCAACGAUCAGUAGCCGACCUGAGAGGGUAAUCGGCCACAUUGGAACUGAGACACGGUCCAAACUCCUACGGGAGGCAGCAGUGGGGAAUAUUGCACAAUGGGCGAAAGCCUGAUGCAGCAACGCCGCGUGAGCGAUGAAGGCCUUUGGGUCGUAAAGCUCUGUCCUUGGGGAAGAAAAAAAUGACGGUACCCUUGGAGGAAGCCCCGGCUAACUACGUGCCAGCAGCCGCGGUAAUACGUAGGGGGCAAGCGUUAUCCGGAAUUAUUGGGCGUAAAGAGUGCGUAGGUGGUUUUGUAAGCGCGRGGUGAAAGGCUAUGGCUCAACCAUAGUAAGCCUUGCGAACUGCAAGACUUGAGUGCAGGAGAGGAAAGUGGAAUUCCUAGUGUAGCGGUGAAAUGCGUAGAUAUUAGGAGGAACACCAGUGGCGAAGGCGACUUUCUGGACUGUAACUGACACUGAGGCACGAAAGCGUGGGGAGCAAACAGGAUUAGAUACCCUGGUAGUCC